rnacentral:rRNA from 1 species
GAUGAACGCUGGCGGCGUGCCUAAUACAUGCAAGUCGAGCGAACAGAUGAGGAACUUGUUCCUCUUACGUUAGCGGCGGACGGGUGAGUAACACGUGGAUAACCUACCUUUAAGCCUGGGAUAACUUCUGGAAACCGGAGCUAAUACCGGAUAAUAUCUUUAACCGCAUGGUUCAAUUUUGAAAGAUGCUUUUGCUUUACUUUAUGGUUGUCUCCGCUCCUCAUUACCUAUUUGGUAAGGAAACGGUUUACCAAGGCAACGAUGAGUAGCCGACCGGAGAGGGGGAUCGGCAAAACUGGAACUGAGAAACGGUCCAGACUCCUAGGGGAGGCAGAAGUAGGGAAUCUUCCGCAAUGGGCGAAAGCCUGACGGAGCAACGCCGCGUGAGUGAUGAAGGUCUUCGAAUCGAAAAACUCGGUUAUAAGGGAAGAACAAAGGGGGAAGUAACUAUGCACGUAUUGACGGUACCUAAUCAGAAAGCCACGGCUAACUACGUG